UNUUCACCUUUAGUGUCCUCUACAUUUCUUG
rnacentral:piRNA from 1 species